rnacentral:rRNA from 1 species
UACGGGGGGGGCGAAGCGUUGUUCGGAUUUACUGGGCGUAAAGGGCGCGUAGGCGGUCAGCACAAGUCAGUUGUGAAAUCUCCGGGCUUAACUCGGAAAGGUCAACUGAUACUGUGCGACUAGAGUGCGGAAGGGGCAACUGGAAUUCUUGGUGUAGCGGUGAAAUGCGUAGAUAUCAAGAGGAACACCUGCGGCGAAGGCGGGUUGCUGGGCCGACACUGACGCUGAGGCGCGAAAGCCAGGGGAGCGAACGGG